UGGGGUAUGGGGUAAUGGUAGCCCGACGGUUUCUGGUUCCGUUAGUCUAGGUUCGAGUCCUAGUACCCCAA
rnacentral:tRNA from 1 species